AGAAUCAACGCUGGCGGCGUGCCUAACACAUGCAAGUCGCACGAGAAAGUGGAGCAAUCCAUGAGUAAAGUGGCGCACGGGUGAGUAACACGUGAAUAAUCUACCUCCGAGUGGGGAAUAACUGAGAGAAAUCUUAGCUAAUACCGCAUAAUACCCACGGGUCAAAGCAGCAAUGCGCUUGGAGAGGAGUUCGCGGCCGAUUAGUUAGUUGGCGGGGUAAUGGCCCACAAGACGAUGAUCGGUA
rnacentral:rRNA from 1 species